UACGUAGGUGGCAAGCGUUGUCCGGAUUUACUGGGCGUAAAGAGCGCGCAGGCGUCGUGCAAGUCGCGUGUGAAAGCCCCCGGCUCAACUGGGGAGGGUCACGCGAUACUGCUCGACUUGAAGGCAGGAGAGGGAAGUGGAAUUCCCGGUGUAGUGGUGAAAUGCGUAGGAUAUCGGGAGGAACACCAGUGGCGAAGGCGACUCCUGGCCUGUUCUUGACGCUGAGGCGCGAAAGCUAGGGUACGCAACGGGG
rnacentral:rRNA from 1 species